GGUGGUAUAGUUUAGAGGUAGAAUAUCACAUUGUGGUUAUCGUAAUUCUGUGAAGACGGGGGUUCGAUUCCCCCUACCGCCA